rnacentral:rRNA from 1 species
GCAUGCAAGUCGCACGCUUUAUGUAGCAAUACAUGAAGAGUGGCGUAAGGGAGAGUAAUGCAUGGUUAGCUACCCUUGGGACUGGGAUAGCGGCGGGAAACUGCCGGUAAUACCAGAUAACAUCUUCGGAUCAAACGUGUGAACCGGCCCAGGGAGGCGACCAUGUCCUAUCAGCUUGUUGGCGGGGUAACGGCCCACCAAGGCUAAGACGGGUAUGGGGCGUGAGAGCGUGCCCCCACUCACUGGGACUGAGACACUGCCCAGACACCUACGGGUGGCUGCAGUCGAGAAUCUUCGGCAAUGGGCGCAAGCCUGACCGAGCGACGCCGCGUGCGGGAUGAAGGCCUUCGGGUUGUAAACCGCUGUCGUAGGGGAGGAAGAUCCUGUGAAGAACAGGGUUUGACCGAUCCUAGGAGGAAGGGCCGGCUAAUCUCCUGCCAGCAGCCGCGGUAAUACGAGAGGCCCAAACGUUAUUCGGAAUUACUGGGCUUAAAGAGUUCGUAGGCGGCGCGGAAGGUAGGGUGUGAAAGCCCUCGGCUCAACCGAGGAAUUGCGCUCUAAACUGCCGUGCUUGAGGAAGCUAGAGGUGAGCGGAACUGAUGGUGGAGCGGUGAAAUGCGUUGA